GACGAACGCUGGCGGCGUGCCUAAUACAUGCAAGUCGAACGCAGUGGGGACGGGUGAGUAACACGUGGGUCACCUCCCAUCAGAGGGGAUACCACUUGGAAACAGGUGCUAAACCGCUACUGAUGGAUGGACCCGCGGGGCAUUCGCUAGUUGGUGAGGUAACGGCUCACCAAGGCCACGAUGCAUAGCCGACCUGAGAGGCUGAGCGGCCACACGGGGACUGAGACACGGCCCAGACUCCUAGGGGAGGCAGCAGUAGGGAAUCUUCGGCAAUGGACGAAAGUCUGACCGAUCAACGCCGCGUGAGUGAAGAAGGUUUUCGGAUCGUAAAACUCUGUUGUGAGAGAAGCGGUAGCUAACCAGAAAGCCACGGCGAACUACGUGCCAGCAGCCGCGGUAAUUC
rnacentral:rRNA from 1 species